CAUAGGUGCAUCCCAGGUCCCAUGGGUGCAUCCUGACUCCCAUAGGUGCAUCCCAUGUCCCAUGGGUACAUCCUGGCUCCCAUAGGUGCAUCCCAUGUCCCAUGGGUGCAUCCUGGCUCCCAUAGGUGCAUCCCAGGUCCCAUGGGUGCAUCCUGACUCCCAUGGGUGCAUCCCAUGUCCAAUGGGUACAUCCCACCUCCCAUGGGUGCAUGGGCACUGCUUGUCUCUCAGGCAGAGGCUGAGUGGUCCCCAUCCACCCUGGGAUGCUGGGGUCCCCCAGGAGCAUCCCCCCAUCUCCCUGGAGCAUCCUUAGGGAACCCCAGCCCCAAAGGCUGGAUCCUCCCAGCAGGACGGUGCAGGGAAGCCCUGGAGCAUCCUUGGGGACCCCCAGCCCCACACCAGCCCCCCAAGUGCCUCAUGCACCCCUGGGGUGCUGCUGCUGCCCCAGCUCCUGGCCUGGGGACAGGGGACCUGCCCUCCCUGACACCAAUAAAGUCACCCUGGUAUUUA